GGCUCAGAUUGAACGCUGGCGGCAGGCCUAACACAUGCAAGUCGAGCGGAAACGAGUUAACUGAACCUUCGGGGGACGUUAACGGCGUCGAGCGGCGGACGGGUGAGUAAUGCCUAGGAAAUUGCCCUGAUGUGGGGGAUAACCAUUGGAAACGAUGGCUAAUACCGCAUGAUGCCUACGGGCCAAAGAGGGGGACCUUCGGGCCUCUCGCGUCAGGAUAUGCCUAGGUGGGAUUAGCUAGUUGGUGAGGUAAGGGCUCACCAAGGCGACGAUCCCUAGCUGGUCUGAGAGGAUGAUCAGCCACACUGGAACUGAGACACGGUCCAGACUCCUACGGGAGGCAGCAGUGGGGAAUAUUGCACAAUGGGCGCAAGCCUGAUGCAGCCAUGCCGCGUGUGUGAAGAAGGCCUUCGGGUUGUAAAGCACUUUCAGUCGUGAGGAAGGUUUAUGCGUUAAUAGCGUAUAGAUUUGACGUUAGCGACAGAAGAAGCACCGGCUAACUCCGUGCCAGCAGCCGCGGUAAUACGGAGGGUGCGAGCGUUAAUCGGAAUUACUGGGCGUAAAGCGCAUGCAGGUGGUUUGUUAAGUCAGAUGUGAAAGCCCGGGGCUCAACCUCGGAAUAGCAUUUGAAACUGGCAGACUAGAGUACUGUAGAGGGGGGUAGAAUUUCAGGUGUAGCGGUGAAAUGCGUAGAGAUCUGAAGGAAUACCGGUGGCGAAGGCGGCCCCCUGGACAG
rnacentral:rRNA from 1 species